rfam:Danaus plexippus plexippus isolate F-2 unplaced genomic scaffold DPSCF300156, whole genome shotgun sequence.
AAGCAGUAUUUUUGGUUUAGAAUUCCUACGCUUUACCGUUGCCAAGUUGUUGGGCAAAGCGUUUGGAUUCUAAAACGAAAACACU